UACAGAGGGGGCGAGCGUUGUUCGGAAUUACUGGGCGUAAAGGGCGCGUAGGCGGCCUGUUAAGUCGGACGUGAAAUCCCCGGGCUCAACCCGGGAACUGCAUCCGAUACUGGCAGGCUUGAAUUCGGGAGAGGGAUGUGGAAUUCCAGGUGUAGCGGUGAAAUGCGUAGAUAUCUGGAGGAACACCGGUGGCGAAGGCGGCAUCCUGGACCGACAUUGACGCUGAGGCGCGAAAGCCAGGGGAGCAAACGGG
rnacentral:rRNA from 1 species